CAGCCGAUUCCGUCGAACGCCUGAUGGGCACCAAGGCCGAAGCCCGCUUUGCCUUCAUUUCCGACAAGGCCGAGUUCGCCAGCGAGGACAUGCUGGACGUAUAGCCCGCUCGUGAAACCAAUCCCGGCAGGAGGCGUAGUGUCUAUAUGAAAACACUUCUGCUCACUGUUGGCACACUCGCGCUUUUGGUCGGACUGCUCUGGAUCGGUCAGGGCACUGGUUAUGUGAACUGGCCGCAGUCCAGCUUCAUUGAUCAGCCAGAUGCAAUGGGCCUACUACGGCGCUGCACUGGGCAUCGCUGGAUUGCUGAUGAUUGUCAUCGCGC
rnacentral:misc_RNA from 1 species